rnacentral:rRNA from 1 species
UACGAAGGGGGCUAGCGUUGUUCGGAUUUACUGGGCGUAAAGCGCACGUAGGCGGAUCGUUAAGUCGGGGGUGAAAUCCUGGAGCUCAACUCCAGAACUGCCUUCGAUACUGGCGAUCUCGAGUCCGGAAGAGGUAAGUGGAACUCCUAGUGUAGAGGUGGAAUUCGUAGAUAUUAGGAAGAACACCCGUGGCGAAGGCGGCUCUCUGGGACGGUACUGACGCUGAGACGCGAAAGCGUGGGGAGCGAACAGG